rnacentral:rRNA from 1 species
UAUCUCUGUAGAGUCUGCAUAUCAAUAAGCGGAGGAAAAGAAACUAACUAGGAUUCCCUUAGUAACGGCGAGUGAAGCGGGAAGAGCUCAAAUUUGAAAUCUUCAAGGUUCUACCUUGACGAAUUGUAGCUUAAAGAAGUGUUUUCUGUUGGAGUUUUGGUAAAAGUUCUUUGGAAUAGGACAUCAUAGAGGGUGAGAAUCCCGUAUUUGACCAUUUCUUCCAGCUGUGUGAUACACUUUCAAAGAGUCGGAUUGUUUGGGAAUGCAGUCCAAAAUGGGUGGUAAAUUUCAUCUAAAGCUAAAUAUUGGCGAGAGACCGAUAGCGAACAAGUACCGUGAGGGAAAGAUGAAAAGAACUUUGAAAAGAGAGUUAAACAGUACGUGAAAUUGUCAAAAGGGAAGCGUUUGACACCAGUGUUGUUUUCUCGAAAAUCAAUUAAAAGAUGGGGAUUUUGUGUUGUAUUGACUUUAUCAGCUUUCUGCACUCUUUUCAUUGUCUUUUUUAAUGCACUUUUCGUUUAACAAGUCAACAUCAAUUUCUUUUGUUGUAAAAGGGUCAUUGGAAGGUGGCUUUCUUUUCGGAGAAAGUGUUUAUAGCCUUUGGCCUCUGCAAUCGGAGAGAUUGAGGUCUGCAGCGUAGAUCCUUCGGGGUUAGAUAGCAUUUGUGCUAAGUUAUAGCCUUUCAUAGACAACUUGUUGACUAUGAUCAGUCAUGUAGCUUACUCGCUUAUGCUAUUUUACCUACGCUUAGGAUGUUGACGCAUGAGAUAUACGC